rnacentral:rRNA from 1 species
GACGAACGCUGGCGGCGUGCCUAAUACAUGCAAGUCGAGCGAAGUUUUUCUGGUGCUUGCACUAGAAAAACUUAGCGGCGAACGGGUGAGUAACACGUAAAGAACCUGCCUCAUAGACUGGGACAACUAUCGGAAACGAUAGCUAAUACCGGAUAACAGUAUUUCUCGCAUGAGAGAUAUUUAAAAGUUGGUUAUGCUAACACUAUGAGAUGGCUUUGCGGUGCAUUAGCUAGUUGGUGUGGUAAAGGCCCACCAAGGCGACGAUGCAUAGCCGACCUGAGAGGGUGAUCGGCCACACUGGGACUGAGACACGGCCCAGACUCCUACGGGAGGCAGCAGUAGGGAAUCUUCCGCAAUGGGCGAAAGCCUGACGGAGCAACGCCGCGUGAGUGAAGAAGGAUUUCGGUUCGUAAAGCUCUGUUGUUAGGGAAGAAUGGAUAUGUAGUAACUAUACAUGUAAGAGACGGUACCUAACCAGAAAGCCACGGCUAACUACGUG